CCUACGGGAGGCAGCAGUGGGGAAUAUUGGGCAAUGGACGCAAGCCUGACCCAGCAACGCCGCGUGAAGGAAGAAGGCUUUCGGGUUGUAAACUUCUUUUAAGGGGGAAGAGCAGAAGACGGUACCCCUUGAAUAAGCCACGGCUAACUACGUGCCAGCAGCCGCGGUAAUACGUAGGUGGCAAGCGUUGUCCGGAUUUACUGGGUGUAAAGGGCGUGCAGCCGGAGAGACAAGUCAGAUGUGAAAUCCACGGGCUCAACUCGUGAACUGCAUUUGAAACUGUUUCCCUUGAGUGUCGGAGAGGCAGUCGGAAUUCCUUGUGUAGCGGUGAAAUGCGUAGAUAUAAGGAAGAACACCAGUGGCGAAGGCGGAUUACUGGACGAUAACUGACGGUGAGGCGCGAAAGCGUGGGGAGCAAACAGGAUUAGAUACCCCGGUAGUC
rnacentral:rRNA from 1 species